GACGAACGCUGGCGGCGUGCUUAACACAUGCAAGUCGAACGGAAAGGCCCUGCUUUUGUGGGGUGCUCGAGUGGCGAACGGGUGAGUAACACGUGAGUAACCUGCCCUUGACUUUGGGAUAACUUCAGGAAACUGGGGCUAAUACCGGAUAGGAGCUCCUGCUGCAGGGUGGGGGUGGGAAAGUUUCGGCGGUUGGGGAUGGACUCGCGGCUUAUCAGCUUGUUGGUGGGGUAGUGGCUUACCAAGGCUUUGACGGGUAGCCGGCCUGAGAGGGUGACCGGCCACAUUGGGACUGAGAUACGGACCAGACUCCUACGGGAGGCAGCAGUGGGGAGUAUUGCACAGUGGGCGGAAGCCUGAUGCAGCAGCGCCGCGUGCGGGAUGACGGCCUUCGGGUUGUAAACCGCUUUCGCCUGUGACGAAGCGUGAGUGACGGUAAUGGGUGAAGAAGCACCGGCUAACUACGUG
rnacentral:rRNA from 1 species